rnacentral:rRNA from 1 species
GGGGAUAACGUUUGGAAACGAACACUAAUACCGCAUAAGACCACACUUCCACAUGGGAGAGGGGUCAAAGGAGCAAUCCGCUGAAAGAUGGGCUCGCGUCCGAUUAGAUAGUUGGGGGGGUAACGGCCCACCAAGUCGACGAUCGGUAGCCGGACUGAGAGGUUGAACGGCCACAUUGGGACUGAGACACGGCCCAGACUCCUACGGGAGGCAGCAGUGAGGGAUAUUGGUCAAUGGGGGAAACCCUGAACCAGCAACGCCGCGUGAGGGAAGACGGUUUUCGGAUUGUAAACCUCUGUCCUCUGUGAAGAUAAUGACGGUAGCAGAGGAGGAAGCUCCGGCUAACUACGUGCCAGCAGCCGCGGUAAUACGUAGGGAGCGAGCGUUGUCCGGAUUUACUGGGUGUAAAGGGUGCGUAGGCGGGUAAGCAAGUCAGAAGUGAAAUCCAUGGGCUUAACCCAUGAACUGCUUUUGAAACUGUUUAUCUUGAGUGAAGUAGAGGUAGGCGGAAUUCCCGGUGUAGCGGUGAAAUGCGUAGAGAUCGGGAGGAACACCAGUGGCGAAGGCGGCCUACUGGGCUUUAACUGACGCUGAAGCACGAAAGCGUGGGUAGCAAACAGGAUUAGAUACCCU